rnacentral:rRNA from 1 species
UAAGACGAACCGUGCGAACGUUGUUCGGAUUCACUGGGCUUAAAGGGCGCGUAGGCGGGUCGGCAAGUCUGGGGUGAAAUCUUUCAGCUCAACUGGAAAACAGCCCCCGAUACUGCCGGUCUUGAGGGAGGUAGGGGCGUGUGGAACUUCCGGUGGAGCGGUGAAAUGCGUAGAUAUCGGAAGGAACGCCGGUGGCGAAAGCGACGCGCUGGACCUCUUCUGACGCUGAGGCGCGAAAGCCAGGGGAGCAAACGGGAUUAGAUACCCCGGUAGUCCUGGCCCUAAACGAUGGGUACUAGGUAGUGGACCAGGCAUGGGUUCCCUGCCGAAGCGAAAGUGCUAAGUACCCCGCCUGGGGAGUAUGGUCGCAAGGCUG